rnacentral:rRNA from 1 species
CCUACGGGAGGCAGCAGUGAGGAAUAUUGGUCAAUGGACGAGAGUCUGAACCAGCCAAGUAGCGUGAAGGAUGACUGCCCUAUGGGUUGUAAACUUCUUUUAUAUGGGAAUAAAAUGUUCCACGUGUGGGAUUUUGUAUGUACCAUAUGAAUAAGGAUCGGCUAACUCCGUGCCAGCAGCCGCGGUAAUACGGAGGAUCCGAGCGUUAUCCGGAUUUAUUGGGUUUAAAGGGAGCGUAGGUGGAUUGUUAAGUCAGUUGUGAAAGUUUGCGGCUCAACCGUAAAAUUGCAGUUGAAACUGGCAGUCUUGAGUACAGUAGAGGUGGGCGGGAUUCGUGGUGUAGCGGUGAAAUGCUUAGAUAUCACGAAGAACUCCGAUUGCGAAGGCAGUUCACUGGACUGCAACUGACACUGAGGCUCGAAAGUGUGUGUAUCAAACAGGAUUAGAUACCCCAGUAGUC